GACGAACCGUGCAAACGUUAUUCGGAAUCACUGGGCUUAAAGGGCGCGUAGGCGGGCUGGUAAGUCAGGGGUGAAAGCCCACGGCCCAACCGUGGAAGUGCCUUUGAUACUGCCAGUCUCGAGGGAGGUAGGGGCGUGCGGAACUUCCGGUGGAGCGGUGAAAUGCGUAGAUAUCGGAAGGAACACCGGUGGCGAAAGCGGCGCGCUGGACCUCUUCUGACGCUGAGGCGCGAAAGCGUGGGGAGCGAACAGG
rnacentral:rRNA from 1 species